GGUUCCCGUACGAUCACCGAAGUUAAGCAAAGUCGAGCCUAGUCAGUGCCUAGAUGGGUGACCGCCUGGGAAUACUUUGU